rnacentral:tRNA from 1 species
GGUGGCUCAGGGGUAGAGCGCUUGCCUUGCAUGCAUGAGGCCCUGGGUUUGAUUCCGCAGCACCA